rnacentral:rRNA from 1 species
GAUGAACGCUGGCGGCGUGCCUAAUAUAUGCAAGUCGAGCGAAGCGGGGACGGGCGAGUAAGACGUGGAUAACCUCAUAUCAGACUGGGAUAACUUCGGGAAACAGGAGCUAAACCGGAUAAUUAUAGAUGGAUCCGCGCUGCAUUAGCUAGUUGGUAAGGUAACGGCUUACCAAGGCAACGAUGCAUAGCCGACCUGAGAGUGUGAUCGGCCCCACUGAAACUGAGACACGGUCCGGACUCCUACGGGAGGCCGCAGUAGGGAAUCUUCCGCAAGGGGCGAAAGCCUGACAGGACAACGCCACUUGAGUGUUGGGUGUCUUCGGAUCGUAAAACUCUGUUAUUAGGGAAGCGUUACCUAAUCGGAGAGCCACGGCUAGCUACGUUCCAGCAGCCACGGUAAGUC